rnacentral:lncRNA from 1 species
AUACAAAAAUUGUACCGAAAAUCACAAAGGGAACCUCAUGGCCUGUCACCCACGCGAGAACCCUCCACAAAAUCCAGUAACGAAGAACAGUGUAUCUACUCUACGAAAGCUUUGAAAUCUAAACUAGAGCAUGAGAAAGCGAAAAACCUAAGCUAAGUGCAAAGUCUGUCACCCAAUGCACAUACCUAUUCUAUUUUACAAAACUCCUUUAUAUAGGAGAAAA